rnacentral:rRNA from 1 species
UGCCAGACUCCUACGGGAGGCAGCAGUGGGGAAUAUUGCACAAUGGGGGAAACCCUGAUGCAGCGACGCCGCGUGAGCGAUGAAGUAUUUCGGUAUGUAAAGCUCUCUCAGCAGGGAAGAAAAUGACGGUACCUGACUAAGAAGCCCCGGCUAACUACGUGCCAGCAGCCGCGGUAAUACGUAGGGGGCAAGCGUUAUCCGGAUUUACUGGGUGUAAAGGGAGCGUAGACGGCUGUGCAAGCCAGAUGUGAAAGCCCGGGGCUCAACCCCGGGACUGCAUUUGGAACUGUGUGGCUGGAGUGUCGGAGAGGCAGGCGGAAUUCCUAGUGUAGCGGUGAAAUGCGUAGAUAUUAGGAGGAACACCAGUGGCGAAGGCGGCCUGCUGGACGAUGACUGACGUUGAGGCUCGAAAGCGUGGGGAGCAAACAGGAUUAGAUACCCGAGUAC